UACGUAGGGUGCAGGCGUUAAUCGGAAUUACUGGGCGUAAAGCGUGCGCAGGCAGUUUGCUAAGACAGGUGUGAAAUCCCCGGGCUUAACCUGGGAACUGCGCUUGUAACUGGCAAGCUAGAGUGUGGCAGAGGGGGGUGGAAUUCCACGUGUAGCAGUGAAAUGCGUAGAGAUGUGGAGGAACACCGAUGGCGAAGGCAGCCCCCUGGGCUAACACUGACGCUCAUGCACGAAAGCGUGGGGAGCAAACAGG
rnacentral:rRNA from 1 species